rnacentral:snoRNA from 1 species
CAGCAUAUAUGUAGACCUUGCCUGGCUCUUUAUAGCCAGCCAAGGGGGACAGUGUAUGCAAGAGUGAUGUGGAGUUCUUGUCAGCUCAAACCAGCUGAAUCAGUGGCUGGAUGAAUCGCAGGUCUCCAACAUUC